rnacentral:piRNA from 1 species
UAAUCAAUGCUGAGGUGGCUAAAUACC